rnacentral:rRNA from 2 species
UAACGCAUUAAGCAUUCCGCCUGGGGAGUACGGCCGCAAGGCUGAAACUCAAAUGAAUUGACGGGGGCCCGCACAAGCGGUGGAGCAUGUGGUUUAAUUCGAAGCUACGCGAAGAACCUUACCAGGUCUUGACAUACUAUGCAAAUCUAAGAGAUUAGACGUUCCCUUCGGAGACAUGGAUACAGGUGGUGCAUGGUUGUCGUCAGCUCGUGUCGUGAGAUGUUGGGUUAAGUCCCGCAACGAGCGCAACCCUUAUUAUCAGUUGCCAGCAUUAAGUUGGGCACUCUGGUGAGACUGCCGGUGACAAACCGGAGGAAGGUGGGGAUGACGUCAAAUCAUCAUGCCCCUUAUGACCUGGGCUACACACGUGCUACAAUGGAUGGUACAACGAGUUGCGAACUCGCGAGAGUAAGCUAAUCUCUUAAAGCCAUUCUCAGUUCGGAUUGUAGGCUGCAACUCGCCUACAUGAAGUCGGAAUCGCUAGUAAUCGCGGAUCAGCAUGCCGCGGUGAAUACGUUCCCGGGCCUUGUACACACCGCCCGUCACACCAUGAGAGUUUGUAACACCCAAAGUCGGUGGGGUAACCUUUUAGGAACCAGCCGCCUAAGGUGGGACAGAUGAGUAGGGGAAG